AUUGAACGCUGGCGGCAUGCCUUACACAUGCAAGUCGAACGGCAGCACGGGUGCUUGCACCUGGUGGCGAGUGGCGAACGGGUGAGUAAUACAUCGGAACAUGUCCUGUAGUGGGGGAUAGCCCGGCGAAAGCCGGAUUAAUACCGCAUACGAUCUACGGAUGAAAGCGGGGGACCUUCGGGCCUCGCGCUAUAGGGUUGGCCGAUGGCUGAUUAGCUAGUUGGUGGGGUAAAGGCCUACCAAGGCGACGAUCAGUAGCUGGUCUGAGAGGACGACCAGCCACACUGGGACUGAGACACGGCCCAGACUCCUACGGGAGGCAGCAGUGGGGAAUUUUGGACAAUGGGCGAAAGCCUGAUCCAGCAAUGCCGCGUGUGUGAAGAAGGACUUCGGGUUGUAAAGCACUUUUGUCCGGAAAGAAAUCCUUGGCCCUAAUACGGUCGGGGGAUGACGGUACCGGAAGAAUAAGCACCGGCUAACUACGUG
rnacentral:rRNA from 1 species